UAGACAGACAUCCUCAAGUAGUUCAGGUC
rnacentral:piRNA from 1 species